rnacentral:lncRNA from 13 species
GCCAUUUAAAGUCUUGAGGAGGAUAAACGAGGUGUGUUACAGGUUACAACUUCCUACUUAUUAUCGUAUUAACCCCUCGUUUCAUGUGUCUCUCCUCAGGCCGGUGGUGGCUGGUCCCCUUCAAGAAGGUGAGGUGCCUGAGGUCCCUCCGCCCCCUCUGGACAUCGAGUCAAUGGACAUAGCGAGUCAUAAGCUCAAGAUUUGGCUUUCUUUACUUGGCUACAGAGUAUUCAGGAGCCUUGGGAAAACGUGGCAGCUGGAGCAGAGCAGGGAGUGGAUCAGUCACACAGGUACAGCAGCCAUGGGGUAGCGAGCAAAACACCAGCGUUCAGCGAGCAGCUUGAACGGUGGCACGCUGAAGUAAGAGCACUGGCUUUUGGAAAAACCUGCGGACUACCGGGCGAGCAAAGAGAGAGAGACAGCCUACCGCUGUGUCGGUCGAGCAGAGAGCGGGAUCUCCGGCGGCUGAAGAGUGGUUCUUGAAUCGGCCAGAUACUGUUCCAUCCUCUUUUCUGCCAAUCAAGCAAAGAUGAGGACAACACCCAAACUGGCACGUAAGUAGCAUUACAGUCGAGAGUGGUCCGGGGACAGUGAAAAGCAGGCUGCGCCUAUAUGCAGUGCACUGCAGUGUGAUAGAGUAUCGCGUUAUGAGCUUCAGUGGUUCGUAGGUUAUUUUCCCAUUGGGUACUCGGACAUAAUUUAAAGCUUGCCCAACACUCGCAAACAUUAGAUUUCAAGUAGAUUUAUAUUAUAAAUAUCCAUCAUGUACGCGUUUAGUGGUUUGUUUUGUUUUUGUAAUGGCUUUGUUUGUUUUGUUGACUACUGUUUGAGAAUUGUCCCAUUAUGUAUUUUUUAAAAAACAUUUUGUUACACAAUUGUCCUCAUUCUUCAGCAGUAGUAGCCUAAUAUUUGACCUUUAAACACUGUUCUUAAUCUUUUUUCAAGAUGUAUUGAUUUGGCCUUGAUCUGGGCUACUUGAGAGUAGGCUGUCAACCAAAUAUUGAAACAUCACACUUGUCAAAUGAAAUGUUUAAUAUGUAUUAAUCCAUUUCUGAGUUUAUACUGAUUUAUAGUUUGAAGUUAAAGAGCAAUAUAGCAAAUUAGAGAACAGAAAUGUUUGUGGGUAGAGUUAAGUUAGUAUAACUAUAUUAGGUUUAAAAUUGCACUCUUUAACCAUCCACUCUCCCUUUUCCUUGGGUGUUUCAUAGGCUACAUGUAUUGAGUGCUUAUAAAUUAAUAUUUUCUUUGGUGCAGGCCUACUGCUCUCCAAUCACUAGCACGACACCUAGUGGACAAUAAUAUAAAAUGUAGAGAUUCAUCAUGGUUAUUUUCUGUCAUUUUUCUUACCAUGAAGUCUCUCUCUAUCUCUCUGUCUCUCUGAGAAAAGUAAGGAGCUGUUUAAAAAGUAAAUCCAUUGAUUAAAUAAACAUAUUACAUCCAAUUAGUAAUAUCAGUGCUGGUUAUGUUGGAUUAUAUUCAGUAAAUAUGGAUAUUUUAGGACUUUAGUGUGAUAGACUUUAGGACUUUAGUGUGAUUAAAGAUUAAAGAUAUAAUGAGUUAGGCUAUAGGCAAUAGGGUUUUUAUGGGAUAUAUAUUGAGGCAGGCCUAAGGGUUAUUAUGGGAGGUAUAUUGAGUAAGGCUAUAGGCCUAAGGGUUAUUAUGGCAGACAUGGUUUUAUAUCGAGUCAGAUGUCCAUUUUGAAAGGGAGAAAAAAAGGAUUAAAUUUUCCAGAAGGGUGGGCAAUAGGCUUUUAAAAAACAAUAUUUAACAGAUUCCCUCUAAGAUAUUUUCACACUCAUUAUGUUCAAGAGUUGAUAGGAAUGGGCCUGCAUUUAAUGAGAAACAAUGUGUUUUUAUUAAAAAGUUAAUUUGCUAUGAAUUUCAGUGUUUUUCUUUCUAGUUUGUACAUGAAUAAAAUAGCCUAUAAAUGUGUUGUUAUUGAUUUUGCUCAGUCGAGCCUUCUUUAAAAAUAUGUUUGUUUUAUGGUGCAAAUAGUACUGGUUUUGGUCUAUCGAGUGGUCAAACGGUGUUUCCCGCAAAUCGGUUAGUUGUCGAAUAGUUUGCUAAUUGCAAAUGCAGGGACAUUCCUGUUAAGGAUUCUUAAAGAUGUUGCAGACUCCCCGCUGUUGCUUUUCCCAUUAUCGUAAACAGAUUACAUACAAAUAGCGGGGAAAACACUCGAACGCAGAAAGAGAAGCGGCUAUUUCUGACUGUUGUAUCUCCACAUCUCACCCAAUUCCUCAAAAGUGAAACCGUUUGAAUAUGGUGGUAAUAAACUCUUUACCAGUUUGUAUAUCAUUCAAAUAGGUAUUGAUGUUUUGUUUAAUAACAUGUACAAAAUAGGCAUAGGCUAUAAUUAUUAUAUUAAUAGUAUAGGCUAGACGUUGUAGAUUUAAAACUUUAUCUCGCUCAAAACUGUGUCCAAAAAAUACAAUAUAUUCAGUGUCAAGUUUCUCAAUAGAUGUAUGUAAGCGAUAGGCCUAUUUGAUGCUUUUCCAACAUUUCCAGCAUAAUUUGCCAACUGUUUUACCAUAAGCGUGAAUGUUUUGAAAAUAAAUUAGCCUUCUAAACCUGUAGUUGGUAUACAAGUUAUAUUAUUAGGCUACAGCGCACAACAGAACAAACUAACAUAAGCCAUAAUAGUGUUCCAUGACACCUUUUAGGUUUAUACGUUCAUAAAGGUUAUUUGCUAUUGUCCCUUUCGCCAGCAGACGGCGCUAAUGGCAUGUUACAACGGGCUUCGUGUGGCUGAUACAACCUUUUGGAACAAUUAUUAUUAUUUGUUUUAACCUUUAUAUAACUAGGCAAGUCAGUUGGAACUAUCCUAUAUGUGAAUUCAUAUGCAUAAACACGUGCUUUUACUGAACACAUAUUAGGCGUGUUAGUGUAUUUUCGCUGUUCAUGCUCCAUCAGCUUUUGUAGCUCACAGUAAUCUAAAUUAUCCAUCAGAUAUGCCUAUAAAACAUUGUCCAAGCCUAUUUUCCAAUGCCAAUUGUUGAUGUUAUAAAUGGAAAAUCUAUGGACAAAAAUGCUUGUUAUAUUGGCCUAUCGUUGAAGUGGUGACCCCUCUUGGUCAUAUUGUUUGUGAAAACUUUUUGUAUUAUAUAAUUUUUUGUCUUGUGACGAAGUGAAUUUCAACAAAAAAGAUCUUAACGGAAUGUAGUCAUGCUUUUGUUCGGGCUGAUGUACUGACAACACUCGA